UAUUGCACAAUGGGGGAAACCCUGAUGCAGCGACGCCGCGUGGGUGAGGAAGUAUUUCGGUAUGUAAAGCUCUAUCAGCAGGGAAGAAAAUGACGGUACCUGAGUAAGAAGCCCCGGCUAACUACGUGCCAGCAGCCGCGGUAAUACGUAGGGGGGCAAGCGUUAUCCGGAUUUACUGGGUGUAAAGGGAGCGUAGGCGGCAAGGUAAGCCAGAAGUGAAAGCCCGUGGCUCAACUGCGGGACUGCUUUUGGAACUAUCUAGCUAGAUUGCAGGAGAGGUAAGUGGAAUUCCUAGUGUAGCGGUGAAAUGCGUAGAUAUUAGGAGGAACACCAGUGGCGAAGGCGGCUUACUGGACUGUAAAUGACGCUGAGGCUCGAAAGCGUGGGGAGCAAACAGG
rnacentral:rRNA from 1 species